rnacentral:lncRNA from 1 species
GAGAGCAGUGUUAACAGCACCUCACAUCUGGGGUGGCCUGGAGGCUGGGCCAGCAUGAAUUAGUGUAAUGAAGGUCUUCUCCUCUCUCACACGAGGUUGGAAUCUCACACCAGAUCAACUACCUGGAUUAGAGAUACAACCAAAGAGCACAGUAAACUGCAUGGACAUUUAGGACCAGAGCACUAAUAUAGGUUGGCUAUUAAAUCUGGAAACAGGAGGAAGUUGGCUGCCAUGUUGUGAGGAUGCACAAGCAGCCCCAUACAGAGUCCCUCCUGGUGAGGAUCCAAAGCCACCUGCCAACAGCCCGUGAAGAACUAAAGCCUUCUGCCCACAACCAAUGCAACCAGUGCUAAUUUGUCAGCCUUGUGAGUGGGGCCCCUUGGAAACAGAUCCUCCAGCCCCAUGCAGAUGACUGCAGCCCAAGCUGACAUCUUGACUGCAAAUUCAUGAGAGACCCCAAGUCAAAUUCACCCAGUUAAAUCACUCCUGCAUCCCUGACUCACAGGAAUUGUGAGAUAAUAAAUGUGUAUUAUUGUUGUAA